rnacentral:rRNA from 1 species
AACGAACGCUGGCGGCAUGCCUAACACACGCAAGUCGAACGGGAUCCGGACUUCGGUCCGGUGAGAGUGGCGGACGGGUGAGUAACACGUGGGAACCUGCCCAUUGGUCUGGGAUAACCGCGGGAAACUGCGGCUAAUACCGGAUGUACCCGUGAGGGGAAAGAUUUAUCGCCGAUGGAGGGGCCCGCGUCCGAUUAGGUAGUUGGUGGGGUAAUGGCCUACCAAGCCAACGAUCGGUAGCUGGUCUGAGAGGAUGAUCAGCCACACUGGGACUGAGAUACGGCCCAGACUCCUACGGGAGGCAGCAGUGGGGAAUAUUGGACAAUGGGGGCGAACCCUGAUCCAGCAAUGCCGCGUGAGUGAUGAAGGCCUUAGGGUUGUAAAGCUCUUUUGCCAGGGAAGAUGAUGACGGUACCUGGAGAAUAAGCCCCGGCUAACUUCGUGCCAGCAGCCGCGGUAAUACGAAGGGGGCUCGCGUUGUUCGGAAUUACUGGGCGUAAAGGGCGCGUAGGCGGCCGUUUAAGUUAGGUG